GAUUCUGUUUGAUGUAGUUACUAAACUCACAUACCGUGUAUUGGCCAAACAGUGACGUCGUUGAGAAGACGAGGUGUUUAUGAGCAUAACAAUGCGUCACACGUCGCUGCAUGGUGCUCCGACAAUCCUUCCUCUCACUCCUCUCUCCUCUCGCUCAGGUUUUGCAUUUGAUCUACGAUCCAUACUUCAACCUCCACGACCCUCCUCUUUCCUCCACCAUUUCUAGUCCUCUUCCCCUUUAGUGUUUUUUUUUAGGUAUUUCUCUUCACACCGAGUCUUUAACGUACCCGGUCUUUAACUCCCAUCCCUGUGUUUUUCCCCUCACACCAGCUUCCUCUUCCUCCCUCCACUGCCUUCAUCACUCUGUCUCUUCUAUCUCCGCCUCGCACUCAGCCGCCUGUGCACAUUAGUAUUCCGUUCAGCCCCGGCGGUCUGAGCAAAGGGGGGGCUGUGGCUGUCUGCUCCUCUUGUCUGAGCCCGCUGGAGAGAGGCACCCCUUUAUGGCAGAACACUUUAUUCAUCACUGUGUGAUCACUCAAACAAACACACAUACACACACACAGAGCCGUCACACAUUAAAUCUCUGCCCAUCCACCUCAUGUACCGUCUGAGCCGUUUCCCCGCUUCCCUCCCUGGAAGGGCUGCUGCACCGGCAGCAGUGCAGGCGGUGCUGACAGACUUCAUCUAACGCGGCCCGUCUUCGCGUCUGCCUUGAUAGGUCCCGCAUCACGACACGACGCAGCACGCACGGCCUUCAACAGGACGGCAGCAUACAACACGCAUCGGUGCGACGAUUGACCUGGAAUUGCAGAGGGAGCAAAUCCCAACAGUUUAGUAUGAAAGAUAAAUGAUGAAUGUUGAUCCCGGGGCUGCUGAGGCUACAUGAAUCAACAGCCCAUCCACUUCAGGUGUGUCUCCCUACCUCUUCUCGAGGGUGAACUUUGGCGUCGGCAGUGUGGCUGGUCUGCCGUGGCAGUUGCAGGGCCCAGCGCGGCUGCCGCAUCGUGUGCGUGGCGUCCCAUGUGCGGCACGGCGCGUCUUUUGUGUCUCCCCAUUCCGCGUCAUCGACGGCGCCUGCCUGUCUGCUGACUGAGGUUGGAGGCGGAAGCGUGGCCUUCAAGCCGGUGCAGUUUCCCUUAGGCGUAGCAUCCAAUUCCUAGGUAGGUCUGUGUCAUCUGUACUGCUUAGAUGGACAUGGGCCUCGUCCAGCUGUUUCAUAGAUUCCUCUGUUGCCUUUGAUUUGCAGCUAAAGCGGUAGUUUAAUAGUUGGUGUGUGGUUUAUUUUCAUGUGUGGUGGAACAUCAGGCUCCUUCCCCCUCAGCAAGUCAUCUCUGCCAGUGAGCCUUCAGUCCCCCCCUUUUUUUUUGCACGUUGCAUCCAUGGUAAUCUGACUCAUAAACGUUCCAUUUUAUUGAA